rnacentral:rRNA from 1 species
AACGAACGCUGGCGGCAGGCUUAACACAUGCAAGUCGAACGCAUCCUUCGGGGUGAGUGGCAGACGGGUGAGUAACGCGUGGGAACGUGCCCUUCAGUUCGGGAUAACCCAGGGAAACUUGGGCUAAUACCGGAUACGUGCGAGAGCAGAAAGAUUUUUCGCUGAAGGAUCGGCCCGCGUCUGAUUAGCUAGUUGGUGGGGUAAUGGCCCACCAAGGCGACGAUCAGUAGCUGGUCUGAGAGGAUGAUCAGCCACAUUGGGACUGAGCCACGGCCCAAACUCCUACGCGAGGCAGCAGUGGGGAAUAUUGGACAAUGGGCGCAAGCCUGAACCAGCCCUGCCGCGUGAGUGAUGAAGGCCUUAGGGUUGUAAAGCUCUUUCGUCCGGGACGAUAAUGACGGUACCGGAAGAAGAAGCCCCGGCUAACUUCGUGCCAGCCGCCGCCGUAA